rnacentral:rRNA from 1 species
AUUGAACGCUGGCGGCAGGCCUAACACAUGCAAGUCGAGCGGAUGAAGGGAGCUUGCUCAUGGAUUCAGCGGCGGACGGGUGAGUAAUGCCUAGGAAUCUGCCUGGUAGUGGGGGAUAACGUCCGGAAACGGGCGCUAAUACCGCAUACGUCCUGAGGGAGAAAGUGGGGGAUCUUCGGACCUCACGCUAUCAGAUGAGCCUAGGUCGGAUUAGCUAGUUGGUGGGGUAAAGGCCUACCAAGGCGACGAUCCGUAACUGGUCUGAGGGGAUGAUCAGUCACACGGGAAGUGAGACACGGUCCAGACUCCUAAGGGAGGCAGCAGUGGGGAAUAUUGGACAAUGGGCGAAAGCCUGAUCCAGCCAAGCCGCGUGUGUGAAGAAGGUCUUCGGAUUGUAAAGCACUUUAAGUUGGGAGGAAGGGCAGUAAGUUAAUACGUUGCUGUUUUGACGUUACCAACAGAAUAAGCACCGGCUAACUUCGUG